AGCCUAACAGAUUCCUUGGCAUUGCCAGGCAACCAUUGUGAGCUGCAUUCAGUUCUGUCACAAUCUGUCCUCUCCCCACAGACAUCCAUCCCCCACACCACCACCUUCAACCCACAGCAAACACCAGGCACCUCUCAGGAAUCAUUUCUCUCCUGUCUCCAAAGUCAGCAAGACCACUCGGACAUGGACAUUUCUUUAUUCUCUGUGGACACACAGGGGAGCUCUGCUUGCAAGACUGCAGGCCACUACAGCUGCUGAAUAUCAUUCUGGACCAGAGUGGAGGAGCCUCAGAAUCAAAUUCAAAUUCAUGAACUUGGGAACCAUCAGCAGAAGGUCUGACCUAUCUACAAAGUGGUCAGCUGGGGAACCAGCAGAGCCAAGCACAGAGGAUCAUCUUCUUGGAGCCCAUAGCCAACGUGUUGUUACUUUAGGAUUACAUCAUGAAUUACUGGAAGGACAAUAGAGCUGCAGCUGAGAAUGUCAUUAGAUUCACAGAAGAUGAACAAGACUUCAUCCCAAAAGACCCACUGAAGACAAUGGCCCUACUAUUGGCUGAGGUCCACCAGGAUACUACAUGGCUAAAUGAAUAAUCUGCGCCUACUAUGAGGUCAAUGGAUUGGCUUUAUUUGAACAUCAUACACAGAGCUGUACAGUGCCCUAGGGGUCAAAAUAUGUUGAAUCUUAUGUUCAGUAUGCCUUCUACCUACUUACUCUAAACAGUGUCACACCAGGUAUCUAAAAUGUUUACAUAGUAUGAGUAUCUAUCUUUUAUUUUGUCUGUGAGACUCUAGAACUUGUUGCAUCCUCACUAUGAGCCACCAUACCUAUAGUUCUCUUCACCUCUAGGAGGUGCCAUUGCCUCAUCAAGCUCACCAGUCUACUCUGCUGUGUGUUUCAGGUUGCAUUACCUCUGCUGUCCAGAGGGCGCUAGUAAUGACUCUUUCAGAAAAUAGAAGCAGUCAUGAAAACAGGACCUCUGAGUCAGUGGGUCCGUCAUCACUGAGUGAACGAAUGGAUGAAUGAAUGAAUGAAUGAAUGAAAUUUAUGCCCUGGCAAUGCUGAAGCAAUUAUGGGCAGCCUUUAUUGACUUUCAUUGUCUACGUUGAUGAGGAUGACUACCAGGUCCCUUCCUCAAGAGGGCACCAGAUCUCAUUACAGAUGGUUGUGAUCCACCGUGAGGUUGCUGGGAAUUGAACUGAUCUUGGGAAGAGCAGGCAAUGCUCUUAACCUCUGAGCCAUCCCCAGGGUAAAUAAUAGAAGUGCCUUCCAGUACCUGAAUGGAGUCACAUGUUGACAGAAAUGCCAGGGAAACUAUUUUUUGAACACCAGCUUGUAAUUGCUAUACCUCUACCUGAUCUGUGACCUGUCCUCAGGGCUCUUAACAGUCUCUUAUUCCUGGCAAAAGUCAUCUUGCUUCUACCUAAAGAUCUAAAAUAAAA